UACGUAGGGUGCAAGCGUUGUUCGGAAUCAUUGGGCGUAAAGCGCGUGUAGGUUGUUAGGUAAGUCAGAUGUGAAAGCCCUCGGCUCAACCGGGGAAGUGCAUUUGAAACUAGCUGACUAGAAGACGGUAGAGGAAGGUGGAAUUCCAAGUGUAGAGGUGAAAUUCGUAGAUAUUUGGAGGAAUACCUGUGGCGAAGGCGGCCUUCUGGACCGAUCUUGACGCUGAGACGCGAAAGCGUGGGUAGCAACAGG
rnacentral:rRNA from 1 species